rnacentral:rRNA from 1 species
GAUCAUGGCUCAGAUUGAACGCUGGCGGCAUGCCUUACACAUGCAAGUCGAACGGCAGCGGACCUUCGGGUGCCGGCGAGUGGCCGAACGGGUGAGUAAUGCAUCGGAACGUGCCAUUGAGUGGGGGAUAACGUAGCGAAAGUUACGCUAAUACCGCAUAUUCUGUGAGCAGGAAAGCAGGGGACCGCAAGGCCUUGCGCUCUUUGAGCGGCCGAUGUCAGAUUAGCUAGUUGGUGAGGUAAAGGGCUUACCAAGGCGACGAUCUGUAGCGGGGUCUGAGAGGAUGAUCCGCCACACUGGAACUGAGACACGGUCCAGACUCCUACGGGAGGCAGCAGUGGGGAAUUUUGGACAAUGGGCGCAAGCCUGAUCCAGCCAUGCCGCGUGAGUGAAGAAGGCUUCGGGUUGUAAAGCUCUUUCGGCCGGGAAGAAAUCGCAUGGGUUAAUACCCUGUGUGGAUGACGGUACCGGAAUAAGAAGCACCGGCUAACUACGUG